UGAAGGAUAUCCUUAAAUAUGUUGGCUGGUUUAUAGGUUUAGUAGUUGUAUAGUUGUAUUGUUUCUAGGGAAUAUAAUAAAGCGACCAAUUUUCUUGAUUAGCAACAUAAUAAGCAUAAAAGUAUAUCAAGCAAUUAAACCUGCAAGAGAAUCCAAGCAUGCAGCUGUUACAAGGCACCCUUCCAAGUUUAGUAAGGAAAGCUUUUGCAACCCUGAAAUGAACCAGGACAUCAUCGAAAAUUAAUGAAGCAUAGAUAAUUAUGAAAUACUGAAACUCAAGAAUUCUGUUCAAACUGGCAAGCUGAGAUGCUAGUAUUGUAUAUCGAUACUGUUUAUAGUUCACACUGCAACACGUCUACUGACUAACAUAAACAAUAUCAACUUCAGAAAUUACAAGGACAAAUAAAAAAACAAAGAGACUUUUCCAAGAAUGAUUUAUACAACUGAAGUCUACAUCAAAGAAAUGAAGCACAAGGAAGAUUGGAUAUAUAACUGAAAUUUUUCCCCAGAAAAGACAAACUGAUUGGUUGAUAGCUGCAUUCAGAAUUAUAACCAUAUAUUCACAUAAAAACAGAAAACAAAAAAAAAAUCCAUGGAAGAAGAUAAAAAUGCUAGGUUGAACCUAUAAAAUAAAAAAUCCUGAUUGUUCUGAAACACCACAAUAAUACAAGAAAACGGAAAGUACCUUUUAGAAAGCUGAUGCUAAAAUUAGCGACUUUACUGCAAGAAAUGUCAAGACUCUCCAAACACGCCAACUCUGGAAGCAAAUUGAAUAAAAUACAUUGUUCUGUUAAUCAUUGAACCAUGUGUUGACUAAGACAACAA
rnacentral:lncRNA from 1 species